rnacentral:rRNA from 1 species
UACGGAGGGUGCAAGCGUUAUCCGGAUUCACUGGGUUUAAAGGGUGCGUAGGCGGGUAAGUAAGUCCGUGGUGAAAUCUCUGAGCUUAACUCAGAAACUGCCGUGGAUACUAUUUGCCUUGAAUAUUGUGGAGGUGAGCGGAAUAUGUCAUGUAGCGGUGAAAUGCUUAGAUAUGACAUAGAACACCAAUUGCGAAGGCAGCUCACUGCGCAGUGAUUGACGCUGAGGCACGAAAGCGUGGGGAUCAAACAGG